rnacentral:misc_RNA from 1 species
GUGAAUCAUCGAAUUUUUGAACGCAAAUUGCACUCUCCUCGGAGAGUAUGCCUGUUUGAGGGUCAGCCUAUAAAAAAUCGACAUCGUUGCUGUUUCGCGGUGACGUUUGUCGGAAAUUGGGUCAUCUUAAAUCCUUUUGGUUUUAAGCGACUUAAAAUUUCCUUUUUGGUUCAAUGAACGUUUCUAAGAUUUCUUUCUUUACACGUUUAAGGGUAUUGAUUUUUCUUAGACGUGACAUUCAUUUCGGAUCGUGUCCAUUAUCUUAACUUA